AAAGGGCCUCAGCACUUAGCAUGGUGGAGGAGUCAGAGGAAGUGAGGAUGCAGAUGGGGACAGCGGGCAGGAGGAGAAGUAGAGAGAAGUGGAGGGAAGAGACACUGAGGGGAAAGAGAAAGCACGCAUGCACAUAGUUACAAGGUUUCCCUUCAACUUCCCCCAAAGCUUAAUAGAUUUCUAAAUGGGCUUAUUAUCACCACCUAUGAAUUAUUUUAAAGGAUCUAAUUAUAAAACACCAAACUAGCUAAUUAGGUUUCCUGAGCUCUCCUUGACACAGGUGCAAACAGGCUCUCUGGAUGGUAGUUCUGGCAAAGCCUGCAGAGCCGAGUCCAUGGGGGUGGGAGGCUGCCUGUGGCCCACAAUUAGGCCUCUAAUUGUAGGUGUCCUCCUGCCACUGCCAGGCCUCCAGAGACGCUGGCUGCCUGACCUCUCACCUGAUGGAUAGGAGCAGAGGGCCUGCAGAACAGGGUGCAGCUUCCCUUGGGCCUCUCGGGUUUUGAGGCUGAGGAUGAAGUAAGUGGGUGUCCCCAGAACCCAGCUUAGGAGGGGCUGCAUCUCAGUGGAGUGGUCAAGGAACCAGGCCCUUGGCGUUCCUCCAGGCCUCUCUGAACAGAAAUGCCGAGGGGAGGGGCCACUGAGAUGCUGAGAAAAUGCACUUAUCUUUCACUGGAGGGACACAUACCCUUGCGGGGUAGUAAAAUGGCAGAGAUGGCUAUGCCUCUGCCCCAUUAGAUUAGAGGACCCCUGGGGGGUGAGGGACCGAGUUCUCAAGUGCUAUGAUGGCGCUGCAUGAAACCCUGUCUCCACUACAGUGAUUUCCAGUGUGUUCCCCAGACAGUAACAGCAGCAUUACCUGGGAACUUGUAAGAAAUGCAAAUUAUCGGACACCACCCAGGGGUGGGGCUGAGCAAACCAUGUUUUAAUGAGCCCUCCAGGAGAUUCUGAGGCAUGCUCCAGUUUGAGAACCACUGCUCUCCUGUACCCAGGAGGAGGCCAUUAAUCAAGGCGGCUGCCAGUGGUGGGGCUGCCGGCUAAGAGGGUGUGCGGAGAGACCUGUUUCUUAAAUUAAACUAAAUGAUGGCCAUUAAGGGGGCAUCCCUUGCACAUAAUUAAUUCUCCUUUUGCUAAACGGGGCAGGCGAGAAUUGGACAGCUAAUGAUGAUCACGCAGGCUUCACCCCAUUCCUCCACCUCCCUCAUCAUCUCUACCACACGAGCCUCAUUGUCUCUCCGUGAGGUGGCCCCAAGAAAGUCUGAGGUUUGUGAACUACAUAGCACUUACUGCCCCAAGCUCCUUACCACUGUCCCCUUCUCCAAGUCAGUCACCACUCUUGCCAGCUCUGUCCUGGUCCCCCAACUCCUCUGCGGCCAUACAGGGUCCCAAUGUCCCUCUUUCACCGGAGCCUUUCCACUUUACCAGCUUGACAUAUUAAACUUCUGAGUAGAAUGUUACCAUUUAACCACAGGUGCCAUGGCUUUAAGAGAUGUGGAAACCCUGGAGCUGGAAACCCACACCCCAGGCCUUACCUCUCUGAGCCUCAUUUCCGUUGUUCUCAGGUGUGGGUGAUGCCACCUAUCUCUGACAGUCAUGGUGAGGAGGAGCAGAAACUCUACACGAGACGCACUUAAGCAGCGCUUGUUACACACUAGGGCGGGGCUAGGUUCCCCUCUCUCCUUCCUCCUCUGGGUUCCAGACGGGCUCCAGUGGGGCUGGUUCUCUUGGAUCCAGAGAUGUCUCUGGGCUGCACUAGCCCAUCCCCUUCAUUCCAUUAGUAAAUCCUGGAGUCCAGGAGCUGCAUCAAAUUCACUGCAGCUCAACAAACCUCUGGUGGGUGCCUGUUGUGCGCCAGGUGCCCUGACAGUGGCUGAAGAUGUAGAGACGGAACAAGAAAGGACCUCGUACCCUGGAAGCUCCAGUGUGAUGGAAAAAAAAUAAGAACCUAAAGGAUGGGGCUUCCAGAUGUUGUAGGAUAAGCCUGACGGGGUGGAGAGUAAUUGGAAAGGAGCGGCCUCAUCCCCAACUCCAAAUUAAUAUUUUCCUGUCCUGAUUUAAUUCCGCCCGGGAACAGAGACACAGAGACACGCCGUGUCAAGCGCUAAGUAAUCCGCCAUGAGCCACCUGAGGAGGAGGAAGGACUCCUUUUCUUUGCGAAACUGGGAUUGGAGAGGAGGGAAUAAGUGCUGUCUGGAAGAAGAGAAGAGAGAAGCCCAGCGAGUGGUGUAACUAGUUUGGAGUGUGCUGUGUGAUGUCAUCUGUUCCCCUGUCUUACCAUGGAAACUUCAGUAAAAUCCCCUCUGCCCACCCACACUUUGGGAAUUGGAUAUAUAUGUGAUACGUGCUACAGAGUGAGCGUGGGGGUAGAGCAGAGGCUGACCUGCAUUCAGGUCCCGCAUGUGGAGGAUUGCCCGAUCAAUUACUCCUUUCCACAGCCAUCCAUGGACUGCAGACCAUGCACCAGCGUGGUGCCAAAGCUGGGAACAACCCCGAAUGUGAUGUGGUCCUGCCCUCCAUCAAAGACCAGAGGGGAGGACUCCGCAGACCUAUUAGUUCAGAACCCAGGAUGGAUUCUCCAGGGGGCAGAGGAGUCCUACCUGAGCAGCUUCUGGAAGCCAGAGUGGGGCCAGCACAUACAUUUUCCCACUCAGUCCUCAGAAACUCGGCUCAGAGGGUAGGGGACUGGCUCAGGGUCACACAGCUGGGAGGAGGUAAAGCCGGAUGCGCCCCCAGGUGUGUAACUUUAUAGAUCAGCAUUGCUCAGGGCUCACCAGCCAUGCUGAUGCAGAAAUGAAGACGGGCACUCUGUCCCCUUGCCCCAGGCAGCCUCAGCGCUGCAUUUCUGUCUCGACACUCCCCCGACAGCGGAAGGACCCCUCACCUCCAGCCUUGGGCUUUAUCCCAGCUGUCGCCAAAGUUGCAGACAUGACUUAGGGCCAGAAGAUCCUCACAGGCUCUGCCCUCAUCCUGCCCACUGCUCCUGCCCCCGACCUCAGGGACUUCAGGGGACACGUAUGGCUUUUAUCUGCCUGGCAUCUAUCUCUUUUAAAACUACCUCAAAUUUCCUUUGGUGCCUGCAUCCCCCUCCCACUAUGAGUCCAUGUGGCCCUCAGAGGCAGAGCCCACUCCCAAGCUCCAGGGUUGGCUAUGGGCCUGAAAUCCUCCCCCCGCCCUUGGCCACAGUGACUGGUUCAUGGGAGGACAUGUGACCUAACCUGGGCCAGUGACACUCAGUCUUGAGAAUUUUACUGUUACUACUGAGAAGGAGAUGCUCCCUUUGUUGAACCAUUAGGAUGUGGGCCUAGUGCUAUAGGCAGCCGUCUUGUGAUCACAGGGAGAGAGCAAGCCUGAGGAAGAGCCCAGCCUAGAAGAAGCCAAGAAGAGCUGAGAGGUGAAGACGGAUCUUUGAUAAUGUUUUCUGAACUUCCGGAUCACACUGCCCCUAAAGACGCCCUUCCCCUCUUCAAUAGUCAGUAACCUCCCUUCUGCUCAAGCCAGCUUGAGUUUAGGUUUCUAUCUGGCUCUUUCCCCAAAGUGAAAAGAGUUGGGACUAAUUUAGGCAUCAACAUCUUGUAGGAAUUGUGCCAAUGUGUUAACCGCUGCCCACUCUAAUCCCCUGGAAGGAAUCUGAGAUGAAUUGAAUCCAAAUCCAUCUUUGACAGUGGAGGAAACUGAAUCCCAGAUUUAGAAAAACAAAGUAACAUCCAAAGCCACAGAACCAGUAAGGGGCAGAACUGAGAUUCCAACUCAAACCUGAAGACUCUUCAUCCUGAGUCCAUUCUGGACCAUCGUGUGAUUCAUUUGUUUAGUUCUGAAAAGGUCUGCAUGCAGUGUGUGUACAUAGCAUGGAUGUGUUUCUGUGUCCUCAGAGAGAUACUGAGGUCCUCAAGGGCCAGGCUUGUGCCGCUGACAUCCCUGACAUCUCCCAGGCCCAAGUUAACACAGUGGUUGUCCUCAAGGGAUCCCUGACAUCAAGUAUAAAUGGGCUUCCAAAGAAUGCCACUCUGGCAUGCCCAGAGCUGGGAGGUUAUCUGGUUCUGGGAAUGACACUGAGAGGCCAGGGUGGGAGUUUACAGGCCUCCCCAGCAGGCAGGCAGAAAGAUGAAAACACAGACACUUGGAGACAAAGGGCUGAAGCCAUGCCCACUGAGGACCCCGGAGAGGAAGGCCAGGAUCUCAGAGCGGGCAGAGGAAGAAGUCAGUGGGCAACUGUCAAGGAGACACAUGAUUGUGUAAGGUGGGUACAUCUGUGUAAAGUAGCCGCUCCAUUCUUAAUUGCAUCAGGCCAAACCCCCUGGUCCAUCCAGACAAGACCCUGGACCCCAAAUCCUGGGGCAGCCUAGACCCAAGCCCAAGCCUCUUACAGCAUCACUGCCCUCUCUCCUGACUCAUCCCUACAGGGCUUCUCCCUGUGCCCAUCCCUGUGGGAGGAUGUACUCUCCACUCCAUUGACACCGGACUUGAUGAUAUGGCUCCUUUUGGUGAACGGAAGAGGAACAGAAGUGACAUCCAAGCAAAAACUUUAGGAGUGUCACAUGUUUCCACCAUCUUUCUUGAUCUUUUCCCUCUGCCCCCAGAAUAACAUAUCUUGGAUCAGGCCUGCUUUUUCACUCUGAACCCCAGAAUGAAGAUUUAUAGAGCUGAGCCACCAACGGCCCACAGCAGAUAUGUACCAUGAGCAAAAAGUCAACUUUUGUUGGUGUAAGCCACUGAGAUUUGGGGAUAGAUUGUUACUGCAAACAAUUAGUUAGCAAAAGCUAACUACUACAGAGGGCAACGCGCACAGCUUUAAGGCCACUUAUGACAACCCAAUGGGGAGCCAAGUGGCUCCCCACGUUGCUUCAAAUCAAAGGGUACAGUGGCUUCCAUUGAACAUGAACAGGAGUCACAUGGGAUACUUAGUGAAAUGCAGAUUCCCAGAUCCCCCUCCUGAGAUUUGGAGCCAGUUCAUCAAGGGGGGUCCACAGAUUCGUUUUUUGACAAGCUCUGAAGAUGACAUAUGGGCUGUCAACAGACCACAC
ensembl:lncRNA